AUUGAACGCUGGCGGCAGGCUUAACACAUGCAAGUCGAGCGGGGAAAAGUAGCUUGCUACUGGACCUAGCGGCGGACGGGUGAGUAAUGCUUAGGAAUCUGCCUAUUAGUGGGGGACAACAUCUCGAAAGGGAUGCUAAUACCGCAUACGUCCUGCGGGAGAAAGCAGGGGACCUUCGGGCCUUGCGCUAAUAGAUGAGCCUAGGUCGGAUUAGCUAGUUGGUGGGGUAAAGGCCUACCAAGGCGACGAUCUGUAGCGGGUCUGAGAGGAUGAUCCGCCACACUGGGACUGGGACACGGCCCAGACUCCUACGGGAGGCAGCAGUGGGGAAUAUUGGACAAUGGGGGGAACCCUGAUCCAGCCAUGCCGCGUGUGUGAAGAAGGCCUUUUGGUUGUAAAGCACUUUAAGCGAGGAGGAGGCUACCGAGAUUAGUACUCUUGGAUAGUGGACGUUACUCGCAGAAUAAGCACCGGCUAACUCUGUGCCAGCCGCCGCCGUAACAC
rnacentral:rRNA from 1 species